CCUACGGGUGGCAGCAGUGAGGAAUAUUGGUCAAUGGACGAGAGUCUGAACCAGCCAAGUAGCGUGAAGGAUGACUGCCCUAUGGGUUGUAAACUUCUUUUAUAUGGGAAUAAAAUGUUCCACGUGUGGCUUUUUGUAUGUACUAUAUGAAUAAGGAUCGGCUAACUCCGUGCCAGCAGCCGCGGUAAUACGGAGGAUCCGAGCGUUAUCCGGAUUUAUUGGGUUAAAAGGGAGCGUAGGUGGUUUGUUAAGUCAGUUGUGAAAGUUUGCGGCUCAACCGUAAAAUUGCAGUUGAAACUGGCAGUCUUGAGUACAGUAGAGGUGGGCGGAAUUCGUGGUGUAGCGGUGAAAUGCUUAGAUAUCACGAAGAACUCCGAUUGCGAAGGCAGCUCACUGAACUGCAACUGACACUGAGGCUCGAAAGUGUGGGUAUCAAACAGGAUUAGAUACCCGAGUAGUC
rnacentral:rRNA from 1 species